rnacentral:rRNA from 1 species
GAUGAACGCUGGCGGCGUGCCUAAUACAUGCAAGUCGUACAGAAAGGCCCUUCGGGGUACUCGAGUGGCGGACGGCUGAGUAACGCGUGGGAACGUGCCCCAAAGUGAGGGAUAACGCACCGAAAGGUGUGCUAAUACCGCAUAUGGUCUUCGGAUUAAAGCUUCAGCGCUUUGGGAGCGGCCCGCGUACGAUUAGAUAGUUGGUGAGGUAAUGGCUCACCAAGUCGACGAUCGUUAGCUGGUCUGAGAGGAUGAUCAGCCAGACUGGGACUGAGACACGGCCCAGACUCCUACGGGAGGCAGCAGUAAGGAAUCUUCCACAAUGGGGGCAACCCUGAUGGAGCAACGCCGCGUGCAGGAUGAAGGUUUUCGGAUCGUAAACUGCUUUUAUAAGUGAAGAAUAUGACGGUAACUUAUGAAUAAGGAUCGGCUAACUACGUGCCAGCCGCCGCAGUAA